UUAGUAUAUGAAUUAUAAAUAAAUAAAAAUUAUUUUGAUAUUUUUCAUCAUAAAUUAUUUCAUCUUCUAAUUAACUCCUGUGUUGUGGUGAAGUCCUUAGGACUAUUUAGACUCGACAAAGGAGGAUUUGUCGUUUAGUCCUUAAACCUGUUCGCGAUCAAAUGAUACGUUAUUACCAAGGACAACAAUGUUUAUCAAGCAUAGGUCAUUGUGUGUCA
rnacentral:lncRNA from 1 species